rnacentral:misc_RNA from 1 species
UGGGCUGCCAGUCUAGCACUUUAGUUUAGUUUAGUGGCAGAUGUGAUGAAUAGAACACCUCCGUCGGACGGGUGUCGUGAAAAGUUCGUAUUUGUUUUUACUAUUUGGCCCGUUUGUCGGAAGUUUUCGCGAAUACUCGAGUGCGUUCCAGAAAAAUAUUUGUCGAUGAAUCCGGAAUACUAAAUGGUCGUCGUCGGUCGCGAUGACCAUCGCCGCCGGAGGAAGAUUGAAAGUGGUGAUGUGACACUGUUUUGGACUGAGGAAUUAAGGGUGUGUGUGUGUGUGUGUGAGGGUACGGUUAUCUAUCGAUGACCAGUUGGGCGUAAAAUUGAAAAAAAAGUUAUUCGUAAACAAGAGAAGAAAGUUGCAUUCGAUUGCCAACCUCGGGCCUGGCUUAUAUUAGUUUUUGCGAGAGAGUUAUAGUAAAGUGACCGUAAUAAAGAACGAAAUCAGGGGUUUUAAAUUUGUGAUAAAUUAUGAUUAAUGUUUCGUUAAGCUCAGUGUUGAUGAAUUUCCACCAGUAUCAUAACGUUAUGUGAGUGCUUUCGGACGGUGGAAAAUCUUACAACGAAAAGUGAUCAUCUGUUUUUAACCAAGUUCAGAGUGUGACCUACCUCGGCAGAAAAGAAAAAGAAGAAAACGGGAAAAAAGAGGCGUCGUCUUUGUCGGCGAUCAUCUGAUAAGGCGUCGCUACCAGUAUGUUCAACUUCAUGAAGAAGGGCGUGGGGGUGGGUGAUGACCGCGAUGAGAAGGAACGCCGGAAGCGGGAGAAAAAGAUGCGGAAGGAGGGCAAAGGGACCGGCGUGUCCGGGAGCAUGAGCACAGAGGAGUUGCUGCGUCUGGACGAGGUGCGAAGAUCGCUAAAGAUUCGCGGCCGUCGGAAAGAGAAGGAAAAGCUGCCCAGCGGAAUCACGGCCGAUUACAGUGCGUCUUUUUUCGCCCAGCUGGACGUGGACCGCGAGCAGGACCGGGGCAACGAAGAGGUGGUUGCUCUGGCCAACACCACCACCUACAUAGACAGUAACGGCGAAAUGGUCGAACGGGUCUCGUUUACAACCGCGAACGUGUCACAGUCGGACAGCUCGGAAACGUCUAUGAACUCCGUUACCGUGAACCAGACAAAAGUACUUCCACCGGUUCCGCCACGCCCCCCGAAACGUGGCAUUCUUAAAGGAUCCCGCCUGAACCUCAACGAGUCGGGUUCCGAUGGAGGCGGUUCGAUGGACUCCAAGUCAGUAUUAAUGAGGAACACGCUGCAGAACGAACGCAUCACGUACUCCCAACAGUCGCGUCACUCCGCCGAAAACCUCAGAUUUGCUGGAGAGAUGAGCCCCAUCAACGCAAACCAUCUGCACGUGGCGACCUCUCCCUCGCCUAGCGCGGACAGCCUCACCGACACAACGAAUUCCUCCUUUGCCACACCGCCGUUCUCGAUGAGUCCGGUCGGAGAAUCCCAGGGCUCGUACCGAUGGUCCCGAGUGCAGGCCUUUGAAGAUGUCAGCUUGCCGCUUCCCGCGAUCAAGUUGGUCGAGCUGCCGCCGCCUCGAGUGCUGGUCAUCAAGCGCCAGAAGGCACCCCGUAAUGACUUCGGGUUCAGCUUACGGAAGGCGAUGGUGCUGGAUCGCUCGUCGUCGCUGCUCUUCCCAACAUUCCGGCCGGUAAUUUUCGCCGAACCAAGUGCCAACAGUAACUCGUCGACCGGGUUGCUCCCGGGCGAUCGUCUACUCAAGGUGAACGAUCUCUCGGUGGAGGAGCUUAGCCGGGAGACCAUCAUCGAAAUUAUCCGGAACAGCGGCGACAGUGUUACGGUUGAGGUACAACCGGUGGCGGAGUUGGUGGAAUUGUCGCGGCGCUGCAUGAACGUUUUGAACGAAACGGACCAGACGGAUCGAGCUGCACCGAUGGAUGUUAUGGACUGCAACACGUUACGUCGCAGCGCUAGCAAGCGAUUCAAGGGCGAGAUCAAGUCCAAUUUUCAAUGCAACGAAGACCAGGAAAAUGGUCACGAGUCUGGCGAAAAGGUGUGGCUCAUCCACCGAGGAGGUUUUACGGCGGCCUCCAAAUUGCCCCAAAGUAUUAUUUCCGACCCGGGCAAAACGCUGGUUCAGCUCGAGCACAAUGGCGAAAAUUUGAGCGUGGACGACGACGACGUUGAAAAGGCGAACCCGGAAUCGCUCGAUCUGGUGGAGGACAUCUGCCAGCUGAGGCACCUGAACGAGGCAUCCGUACUGCACGUUCUGCGGCAACGCUACGCGAGCAAUCUGAUCCACACGCGGGCUGGUCCGGUACUCAUGGUGGUCAAUCCGAUGGCACCGCUUUCGCUCUACUCGGAGAAGGUCGUGUCAAUGUUCCGCGGAUGUAAAACGGAAGAUAUGCCACCGCAUGUCUUUUCGCUGGCCCAGACCGCGUACCGGACAAUGCUGGAAACGCGUCGCGACCAAAGUCUUGUUUUUAUGGGCCGUUCCGGAUCGGGCAAAACCACCAGCUUUAAGCACGCCCUGUACUACUUGGCCUUAGCAGCAGGAUCGGCUAACAAAAUACUGACGGCAGAGCGGGUGAGUGCCAUGAACACGAUCCUGGAGGCGUUUGGCAACGCAAAGACGUGUCUCAACACGAACGCGACACGGUUCACGCAGAUUUUAAGCCUGGACUUUGACCACUGUGGCCAGAUUGCGUCCGCGUCGAUACAGAUACUGCUGUUGGAAAAGUCCCGCGCGGGGAGACGCACCAGCAAUGACCAUCACACGUUUCACGUCUUUGGAAGGCUGUUGGCCGGGGCUGAAGGCCACCUACAGAAGGAACUCUACCUGGAUAAUAUAAACUUUGACGAAGGCAACCUGUUUGUCACACUUCCAUCAAAGUUGGAAGAGAAACAGAACGCUUCGCUAGAUUUUGCUCGCUUACAGCAAGCAUUCAGCGUACUUAACGUGGAUCCAUCGUCCGUCAAAGCACUUUGGUUUGUGCUGGCAGCGAUAUUCCACCUGGGCAGUGCAAAUUGUUCAAUUAUCGGAACAGGUUCUACUGCCCGGAUUCAGUUUGCCAAUCCGUCAGCAGCAAGGAAAGCUUCUAACCUGCUUGGGAUUUCGAUGGACGACCUAACGACGGCUGCAUUCUCGAAUGCAACUUCCAAGUCGAAUCCAGCUUCACCAACCAAAUCUGGCGCGUCGCCAACCUCGGAGCAGCAGGACUUGGCCGCAGCGGCUUUGGAUAGUUUGGAAGGAUUCGUGAUUGGUUUGUACUCUGAAGUUGUGGCAGCUGCCAUAGCCCUGGUCAACAAAGCCAUUAGCACUACCAGCAACACGAUAGCUUCAAUCCUUCUCAUUGAUACGCCUGGCUUCCAGAACCCGGCCAGUUGCGGACAGCAAACUGGAGCUUCCUUGUCGGAUCUGAGACACAACUAUCUGCAAGAACGAUUACAGCUGCUUUUCCAUCACGUAACGCUAGUCGCUCCACGAAAUCGAUACGCACAGGAAUUGGUUGAAAUAAACGCCGGUUUUAGCCACGAUUCUAAUCCAGGACCACUUGUUAACCUUCUUGAUAAAGCACCCCAAAGCCAUGUCGUGCGAACUUCCCAGAAUAAUCUACGCGAUCAAGACAAACGAGGUCUUCUUUGGAUGCUCGACGAAGAAACGAUGUAUCCAAAUUCUAAUGACGACACAUUUCUGGAACGUCUGUUUUCUUCCUACGGAGAUCGUGAAAGCCAAACCCUAGUUCGACGAGGAGCUGGAACCCGACAGUUUAUUCUUCAACACAUGCAAGGAACCAACCCCGUACUCUACAGCUCAUCCGGUUGGCUGAAGGGAAGCCACGAGCACCCGUCGACCAAGUGUGCAAUCAGCGUCCUCCAAGACAGUACCAAGACGGAGAUUAGCAGUCUCUUCACCACCGGAUUCGCCCGUAGCGGUGGAACCGUUUACUUUGGCUCGAUCGUGGGAACCGAAGGCACGCAAUCGCUUAGGCGCGUAUCCAGCAUACGGCGAUCCUUCACUUCUGCGGGCAUCAAGCGCAACUCGGUCAUGUUGCAGGUCAAGUUUACCGUUGACGGUAUCAUCGACACACUCAGACGGACCGGCACGCACUUUGUUCACUGUUACCUGUUGCUGCACAAUGCCGGUACGACGAACUAUAUGAACCUGAAUACCAAAGCAUUGCAAAACGACGACAUCGUGAAUGUUCCCCUGCUGAGAAGCCAGCUGCGAGGUUCGCAAAUCCUGGACUUUGCCCGCCUGCAUCGACUAGGCUUUCCGGUCAGUGUUCCGCUGUCGGAGUUUACGCGCCGUUUCGGGCUGCUUGCGGACGGAACGUUCGGCGAGAUUACCGUCGAGAACAUUCUGAACCACAACGAGAUUGAUCCGUCCGUGUACCGGAUUGGACCAAGUCAGGUUCUGUUCCGAUCGGGUGUGCUGAACCAGUUAGAGGCCAAACGCGAUGAGUUGCUGUCCGAUCGUAUCAUUCAACUGCAGUCGUACUGCCGUGGCCAUCUGGCUAGGAAACGGUUAGCGCAGCGGCGUGUUCAGGAACUCGCGGUCAAAUGCAUCCAACGUAACGUACGAGCCUUCAUGAAAGUCCGUGAAUGGCCCUGGUGGCGACUGUUAGUAAGGGUUACGCCUUUGUUGAACGUGCAUCGUACCGAGGAGCAGCUAAAGAUCGCGACCACUGAGUUACAGGUGCUGAAAUCCAAGCUGGAAAAAGUGGAAGGAGAACGCAACAGUCUCAAAACGGAAAACUCCAAGCUAGAAUCGAGAUUAUCCGAGAUGACUGCCGAAUUCGCGGAAGAACACUCGUCGUCCAACCUUAUCAGCGAGCGACUGGAAGCCGAGACGACGGAAAGACUGAGACUGGAGAAGGAGGUGAAGGAGCAUGAGACCAAGUACCGCAACCUGCAGGAAUCGUCGGAAAAGCUCGAGAUGGAGUUGCUCUGUGCCAAAUCCGAUUUGAACGGUGACCUGGACGAUGACCUUGAGGGGGACGAAGCCGGUGCCAACGCGUACCGGCUCAAGUACGAACGGGUCGCCCGCGAGUUGGAGUUCACCAAGAAGCGUCUCCAGACCCAGCACGAGCACGAUUUGGAGCAACUGAUUGCGCUGAAGAAGCAGCUGGAGAAGAAGCUGGCCGACGCCUACGAAGAGGUGGAAGAACAGCGCCAAGUCGUAGGUCAGUGGAAGCGAAAGGCCCAAAAGAUGACCAACGAGAUGAACGACCUGCGGAUGCUGCUGGAGGAGCAAAACAGUCGCAACAAUCUGCUCGAAAAGCGCCAGCGGAAGUUUGACUCCGAGUGCCAAGCGUUGCAGGAUUCCGCCCGACAGGAGAAACAAGCAAAAGAGCGACUCACACGCGAGAAAGACGUACUGAUUGCCGAGAAGUUUACGAUUGAGCAGACGCUAUCGGACGUGCGGCUCGAGCUUGAGCUGAAGGAGGAAAAGUACAGCGCCCUGCAACGCGAGCUGGAGGAAAUGACCUUUGGCGGUGGCACCGAGGAGGAGAUUGCCCAGUUGAAGCGCCAGAAGAUGGAACUGGACCGACGCUGCAAGGAGCAGGAGGAAGAGCUGGAUGAAAUGGCCGGUCAAAUUCAGUUGCUCGAGCAAGCGAAGUUACGCUUGGAGAUGUCGUUGGAAACCAUGCGUAAGGAUGCGAGGAAGGAAGCCCAGCAGCGAGAUGAUGAACUGGAGGAAGUGCGAGGCAGUUCGUACAAAAAGAUCAAAUCGCUCGAGUGCCAGCUGGAGCAAGAGCACGAGGAACGAACGUUGCUACUGCGGGAAAAGCAUGAUCUAGAGCGACGUCUCAACAACCUCGAGGACCAGGACCGAGUUGAGAGGGCAGCGGAAGAGGCCGCCUCCCAGAAGCUGAAACGCGAUCUCAGGAAGUACAAAGCGCUGCUCCGCGAUGCACAAAGUCAGCUAGAACGAGCCAAGUCCGACUCGGCUGGCAAGGCGCUGAUUCGUCAGCUCCGCAACCAGUUGGAAGACGCCGAAUCUGCACGAUCGGCUGCGGUGAAGGUACGCCAAGUGGCGGAAAGUGAACUGCAGGACGUGCAGCUGAUGCUGGAAGAAGCUCAACGGGCAAGGUUUGACUCGGAGGAACGUGCCACUGCAGCUCAGCGCGAUCGUGCUGAACUGCAGGCGCAGAUUGACGAGAACGAUGAAGAGAUGGCCGAGCUGAUGAAAAAGUACAGCGCCACCGUCAAACAGUUGAGCUCUGAACAAGCAAUGAUCACGGACUACGAACUGAAAAUAUCCGAACUCGAAUCGGAGAAGAAAUCACUUAAGGAGCAAAUCUCCGACCUCACGUCACGGUUGGAGAGUGUGGAAAACAUUGGCGAUUCCUCAACCAGCAUCCAGUUUAAGCGGCUGGAGCUUCGAACCAAAGAGUUGGAAUCGCGGCUGGAGUUUGAGCAGGCAACGCGUGCCCGCAUGGAAAUUCAGCUGAAUCGCCAUAAAGAUUCCCUUGAAAAGGCCCAGAGUGAGAUUAGUCAAACGCGAACAAAGGAAAUGCACGCCCAAGAGGCACUCAAGAAGGCCCAGAAGACGAUUCGGGAGUUGCGCGAGGAGCUUCACCUGGUGGCGAACAAGGAGCAGGAAAGCCUCACCAAGCGCAAGGACCUCGAGAAGCGGCUGGAAUGCGUGGAAGCGGAAGCUGCCUCGGCCCGGGCCGACCUCCGGCUGGCGCUGCAGAGAAUUGCCGAUCUGCAGCAGGCGAUGGAGGAGGGCGAUUCGUACCACUCGGAUAGUGAAAACAGCGACAGCUCGAUCGACUCAGUCAGCGAGGUGAACUACCACAGUCCGACGAAGAUUUCGUCGCUCAGGGCGAGGUCGGGCGAAACGAACGGCACCGGUACGAACGGAAGCAGCACAACGCUGUGCAUCCGCGAGGAAAAAGAAAAUACGCCAAGCGGCGUCAUUGACUAAAGCUCGAUUCUAACAAGAAUCAUUCAUAUUUCCUGAAACAAGAACAAUUUUCCAUAAAAGAAUCACACUGACGACGUCGUCCUCGGGCUCGGUAACAUCGUCCCGGUCGCCCACGAAGGAACGCAGCGAAAGCCGGGCCAGCAGUCGGAUCACCAACGGAGACGACAGCAACGGAGAGUCUUCGUAUGCUUAAGUCGA